AUACGGAGGGUGCAAGCGUUAUUCGGAAUCACUGGGCGUAAAGGACGCGUAGGCGGGUUUGUAAGUCAGGUGUGAAAUCCUACAGCUUAACUGUAGAACUGCACUUGAAACUACAGACCUAGAGUAUGGGAGGGGCAGAUUGAAUUAGUGGUGAAGGGGUAAAAUCCGUAGAUAUCGAUAGGAAUACCGAAAGCGAAGGCGAUCUGCUGGAACAUAACUGACGCUAAGGCGUGAAAGCGUGGGGAGCAAACAGGAUUAGAAACCCUAGUAGUCC
rnacentral:rRNA from 1 species